GCCAAUUGGGUGUCCGCACUAAGUUCAGCAUCAUUAUGGCCCACCAGGUUGCCUAAGGAGGGAUAAACUGGCCCAGGUCAGAAACGGAGCAGGUCAAAACUCCUGUGCUGAUCAGUAGUGGGAUCCCGCCUGUGA
ensembl:misc_RNA Metazoa_SRP Metazoan signal recognition particle RNA